rnacentral:rRNA from 1 species
UGGGGAAUAUUGGACAAUGGGGGCAACCCUGAUCCAGCCAUGCCGCGUGAGUGAUGAAGGCCUUCGGGUUGUAAAGCUCUUUUGGCGGGGACGAUGAUGACGGUACCCGCAGAAUAAGCCCCGACUAACUUCGUGCCAGCAGCCGCGGUAAGACGAAGGGGGCUAGCGUUGUUCGGAAUUACUGGGCGUAAAGCGAGUGUAGGCGGUUGCCGUAGUCAGGUGUGAAAGCCUUGAGCUCAACUCAAGAAAUGCACUUGAUACUGGGUGACUAGAGGACCGGAGAGGAUAGUGGAAUUCCCAGUGUAGUGGUGAAAUACGUAGAGAUUGGGAAGAACACCAGUGGCGAAGGCGGCUAUCUGGACGGUUACUGACGCUAAGACUCGAAAGCGUGGGGAGCAAACAGGAUUAGAUACCCUGGUAGUCCACGCCGUAAACGAUGGGUGCUAGACGUUGGCGAGCUUGCUCGUCAGUGUCGCAGCUAACGCGUUAAGCA